CACACACACACAAUACUGGCUGAGCUCGAUUUCCCUCUCCCUCUCUCUCAGGGUAUUAUGGCUUAUUUUGGCCGAAGCGAAGAUUAAACCGCACAGAUUUCUCGACUGAACACCGACUCAGACUUACACACAGUGCUCGCUUCUGUCCUUUCACUCUUCAUGUGUUAACAGAUUGCAAAAAAUACCCUGGUUUCAUCCAGACGCCGUAUACGAGAUCUCCUCGAGGUCAACCGCUCAGGGGGACGACUUCAAAGGACAGAAGUCAAAUAGAAAAAAAGAAAAAAGAUUGGCUACUCGGCCCGGACCUGAAGGAGAAUGAAGCGGAAGAUGAAGUGGUGGUGGGGUCUUUUGGACAGGAAGACAGAGCAGAAGAGAGGAAAGCCGGAGAGAAAAAUAGUCACAGAUCCACCAGCGGAGACAAGAACAGUCCAGGAGUUCAGCUUUUACUAACAGCCUGACCACAGUGUUAGAAUUUCCCCAAAAUAUACCAAAUAAAUUCCAGUGGUUUUAGAUUUCUCCUGCUGUCUGACCUGCUGAACAAAACCCCUCCUAAACCUGUCCAGGUUUAACAACGUGCUUUUAAACAGGACUUUAUUCAGGAGUUAGCUUUAACCUCUUUUAGAUGUGUGCAGAACCUCAGCUAUACAUAAAUGCUCCAUCUGUAAAAGUGUGUCUAGUAACACUUUUCUCUAACGUCCACAUUAUUAUAAGCAUCCGGCCAAAACAUGGUACCGGUGCUGAAAAGUGUCUCACCUACAGGAGAUAAAAAGUAAAUUUUCAGUCAGGAUCAUAUAACACUAUUUUUCAUAAUACUUAAUGCUUCUUAUCUCCGGAUGCCAGCUUUGUUUUUGGUAAAUAUGCAACACAUUUAUAUUUUUAUCAGAUGAAAAGAAACAAAUACAAUUUCACGCCCUUUUAUGUCUGUAGUGUCUGUAACUUUUUUAAAUUCAAAUCUUUUAAUGAUCCUAACUGUCUUUUAGAUGAAACUUCGAAUUAGAUUUCACAUUAAAAGACAUAAACCUGAAAAAGUGUAUUAUACUAAGAUGCUAAAUUGUUAAGAUAUUGCAACAUAAAUCUGACAUGGUUACGGACACUACAGAUUUUUUGCUAUUGUGAGCUUUUACCAAAAAUCGAUUUUAGCAACUUUUUUCUUAUAGGUCAUAUGCAUCUAGGAGCUUACAUCAAGUUUACUAUCAAUAAUUAUAAAAAAAAUAUGAAUAAUUUACAUUUAGAAUGAAUAUUGUUUGAAGCGAGACAUAAAGUCAUCUCUCCCAAACAGCUAAAGUUAGCAACUUGAAAUUUUUAAGAAGCAAGAUUUGUUACUUCUAUGUUGCAUAACUUGAAACUUUGAAACUUUAGAACUAGAAAUAAACUUCAGAAGAAGCUUCUUUGGCACACACACACAUUUUCUGUAUUGUAUAACAUAAAAAAAAUGGAUACUGUGUUUGGGCCGAAUACAUAAGUUGCUAAGUAAAUCAUAAUUUUUAUUACUUUAAAUACAGUAAAUGAACAAGGUUUCGAGGUAACUGACUGUGAUUUACAGCUGUGAUGUAUUUCUCACCUGUGUAUGUAGGCUUGGACUAUUUUUGCUCUCCUGUUAAAAUGUGCUUUUUCAUGGAGAUGCUGGGGAUUGAACCCAGGACCUCAUACAUGCGAAGCAUGCGCUCUACCACUGAGCUACAUCCCCACAGCUGAUCAAGGCUACAAUCAAACCCACCUUCUUUUAGAUCAUUUCACAGUUUAAGCCACACUAACUGUCCAUAUUGUAUGUUUCUUUUCAUUGUUUUUCUUUGUAUGUAAUAAAUAUCAAACUGUCGAUGUGA